UACGUAGGGUGCAAGCGUUAAUCGGAAUUACUGGGCGUAAAGCGUGCGCAGGCGGUUGUGCAAGACAGAUGUGAAAUCCCCGGGCUCAACCUGGGAAUUGCAUUUGUGACUGCACGGCUAGAGUGUGUCAGAGGGGGGGUAGAAUUCCACGUGUAGCAGUGAAAUGCGUAGAGAUGUGGAGGAACACCGAUGGCGAAGGCAGCCCCCUGGGUCAAGAUUGACGCUCAUGCACGAAAGCGUGGGGGGAGCAAACAGG
rnacentral:rRNA from 1 species